CUUACAAAAAUAAAUAAAUAAAUAAAUAAACUCUUUCCCCGUUUCGGGAGCUGAAAAUUCCUGAGAAUGGAAAGGAAUGUGGUUUACUACAGGCAUCGAGGAUCUUGAAAAUUUAAAGUUAAGCGUUAUAGUGAAGAGGAGAGAGGAAGAUACGGAAAGGUGAUUUUUAAAUCCCCGAAUCUUUUUCUGGGGUUGAAUGGAGGAGAGAGUUUUUUCGCUUGAAGAUUAAACCCCACACAGUCCGUAAACAUACGACGCAAUCAAAACACGAAGAAAAGAGAUGUCUACACAUUUUAAUUUUUCAAAACAACUUUCCACCUUUCUCAGCUCCCUUUCCAUUCUUAAGUGAUAUAAUGUGCUUCCAGAGGGCACAAUAAUUGACUUAAAACACACAGUGAUUGUCUCCUUAUCUGUGUCUGAGACAGUCUGGAUACAUUUAAUCUCAGCUUUCCUUGAAGAUGCGCUUUCACUGUUGGCCUUUCUGUGGUUACUGCCUAAAGGAGAUUGAAGUUAAAGACUGGAGUCAUGGACUUUCAUUAAUACCCAACCUGAGAGAACUGCAAACAGUGAGAGGAUCAUUCACUUGGGCAAGGCAUUUUAACGUCUUCAUUUCAGAUACAUGAUUGGCUAUGAAAUGUACCACUGCGUUAUUGAACUUCGAGAGAGAAUUUGUGAGGUUAUAAACUAUUUCCUACCAAUGAAAAAGAAAAAAAUCUAAAAAGUUCCUAAACGAAUUUUAAAUGCAUUAUCACAGAUUUGGAAUCUAACUGCAAUAUACUUUAAGUGAGAGAGCAGAUAUGAUAAACUACACAACAGAUACAAUCUGUGAGUUGUCAGAUUUAGAAACAAGACCACUGGGACAAAUUUUAUUAAUCUUUUUGGAAAAGAAGCAGCAUGAUCUCAAGAAAGAACCUCUUUCUUGAGGUUAAGAUCAAGGAGUUGUGGACCUGGACUGCUGGAGGAAAAUACCCACCCCCAACAACUUCCUAGCUCCAUGGCUUUAGGCAAAUUAUUUAACUUCUCUGCAUCUUAGCUUCUUCAUUGGGAAAUUUUGAGUGUGUAUAUGAGGAUCAAAUGAAGUCAAUACAUGCUUACUAUCAUGUCUAUAAAAGGGUCAGGCAACCAUGGGAUUGGAGCAGCUAGUAGUUCACAUGAAGAAGCCUCAAGUCCAGUUCAAAAUUGGGUCACAAGUGAAAGUGAGAAUUCUUCCAAACAACUGGAGAUGAUCAUGUGCUUGGAAUUGGAGAACCCAGCAAAGUAGCUAUAUUGAUCAUCUGUCUAUGGCUACUUUUUCAGAGUGCUUGGCAUAAAUGUCAUUCAGUUUGGCUAUUGCCUGAUUAUUUGAAGGCAACGCCAUAUUUAUAUAAGGUCCAGAAUUCAUGUUUUGCUGAUGCAUCUUUCACAUUCCUGGCUGUAAACCCCAGCCUUUGAAAUAAGAAAGCUCUAGGUCACCACCCUUUUGUCAUUCUAGUUUUGCCUUUCCCCAUCCAAUUGUUUUCUUCCUUGUCCUCACCUUGCUCAUGCUUAUACCUGAAGUGGUAUUUUAGGCCUCCUUCUACACCCUCUGAGUGGAGUGUAGGACUGAAAAUGUUUUGCCUCUCACAUCCAUUCCUGGAAACAGUGCAUCAGGAAGACACAUUGAAGACAUUUAUUUUUUGUGUGAGCAGAAGUUUGAACGUGAUGUUCCUCCAUUGAAACCCAAAGCCAGGUCCCUUUUAAUAAAGAGAACAUACAUUCAAGUAUAGCAGGAAGUUUGCUGUUGCCCAAUGACAAGGGCUGAAAUAUUUACAGAAGGAAAACCAGAUCCAGGCAAAGGUUGGCAUACAUGUCAAGAGAAUGUUCUCCAGCUGGGGCCUGCAGUACAGAGAAUUGUAUAUACCAGAGGGCCCAUGGGACUCUAGGCAGAUUAUUAUGGUAAUAUUGGAGGCUGUUGUCCUCUCCCUCCCACAGCUGGGCCGCCUCUCUCAUUCAGCAUGACUACAUGCUGGCAAAGAAACAGAAUUUCGGUAGAGAACACACAAUAUGCCUUGUGAAAAGCCAUUCAAGAACUUGGGGGUGUUGGCAAAGAUUAAUCAGCAUGAUUUAAAAAGGUUGUCUUGCAGUCUUCCUGCUGGACGAACGACUCCCUGCUAGGAGAAGCCUCGUCUUUCAUGCCCUCCAUCCUUCCCUGGAGUUCUUACCUUCAUGUACAGUGUGUUGGAGACUUACUGUUGCAUGGUGCCCUGUGAGUGCUUUGGCUGAGGUUUUGGAAGAAUAGCCUUGCUUUAGUUGUGGGAUCUCUAAUGUAUCAUCAGGAGCCAGAGGGAAAAGGAUAAUCUAUUUUCUAAUGCAGAAGUGACCUAGGAAAUCCCUGAUGGAGUGAUAAAUGAGGAAAGGUGGAUGGAACAGAACCAUUGUGACCCUAACAUCUUCAGGAGUAUGUCUGUGUGCUCCCCACCAAAAUUUCUAUAUGCUGCCUGGUUCUUAUGCUUUCUGAAGCUGAAGGCUCAAUCUGAAUCCAGAUCUAGGAGGUCAUGUGUCUGGCCCCAGAUGGGUGAUGGUUUCAGUGAGAAAAGUCCAACUCUUGUGCUAAUUGAGGAAUGAAAGAAAAAGCUGUCAAGGCAGACAUAAGAUUUUGGAUAGGAAAAAACCACACUCUAAUAGAAAAUAAUGAACCAAGAAAAGGAGGUAAAACUACAAUAAGCUCUACAAAAACCAGAAAAAUCAGUCAGCAGGAAGCUUGUUUUGAGUUGUGGAGAGAUUGGAAGAAAAUUGAAGAAUCAGAAUU